CUUAGCAGGCCCUACACAUGAUCAGCCAGGUAGUACGAAGAAAUACAAGAAUAAUGGUAGCUCAACACCUUCUCUGUAUCACCUUUGAUAUUCAGCGUGUAAAAACACCUCAGUGUAAUUCAAUAUAACUUAGGGUCAUGUUUAUCACCAUACUGAAGACGUCUCGUUUCGAUGUAGUUCGUAAUCAACACAAAGGUCUUUUUCAUACGAUAUAGUUCACGGAUACACAAAAGAUACAAAAUCACUAAAACUUUCAUCAAAUGCCCCUAACAGUUAUAUUUCCUUUACAGAGACGAAGAUGUUGACAUACAAGUAGAGAAGAAGAAACUCCGCCGGAAAUCCAGGGAGACGCCCAACAUGUCUUAUGAAUCCACCUCUUCUUCUGGCAACAGUGUCAUGGAUGGCUCAAUGAAUCAUUCACUUUCUUCUGCGGGAGACAUAAUGCGUAGAAAGUUUAUGGAGAGAACAACAGGAGGUAAUGGAUGCUUGCCUAUGCUGUGUCUGGUAACCUCGUCCGGACUAUACUAUCAGUCGCUGCCGUACUAUAGACGUCUCACGGGGCCUACAAUCCAGUCAACGCACGCAAACAAAUAUAUGGUUUAAACGGGAAUGCGUCUUCUGAUAUAUUGACCAAAGAUAGUUGUGUGUUUCAUUCAUAAGUAUUUGGACGAGUAUAAUUGUUCUUUAUAUUUUGGUUGAGUUCAUUUUAAAACUGUCUGUUGUGUCUCUUUUAUGUUAUAGUCGUCGGGCUUGAAAUCAAAUCGGCAACUGCAGCAAAUGCUGCACCAUAGAAAGAGUUUUCCUGCGUUUAAUAUUUUAAUCAUUGAACAUAUUUGGGACCAUCUUUACUAUAGUAGAGCUAUUUUGCCACGACCUAAUCAAAUGUCUGUAAAAUUUGUAAAUUGAUUUAAGUUUAUCAAUGUAGA